rnacentral:lncRNA from 13 species
UGCACGUACUUGAGCCCGCUUGCCCGAUUCCUGAAAUCUUAUUGGGAAGCUGCAGAUUGCCAGUUCAGGUUCUUUCAAUGAGUAACUGCAAACUCAAACUGGAUGUUCAUAGUGCGAAGAAAGACCCUUGCAAUACAAAGGUGAUUUGAAGGCUGAAUCGAGAGAUGUUUAGUCAUUCAGGAUUCAGGCUGACACACCCCUAAUUUCAAAGGAGGCAGAAAAUCAGGGGGGCGCAUUUAUGCCAAAUACUCAGGAGGCAGAUGGGCUCCAGUGGUCCUAAUGUUGUUGAAUUCAAUAGAAGCCUGUCAGUAGCACUUGAUGCAGCAGAUCUCCGUUCUUCUCUUUGUUAUCAGGAUAUCAGCCACUCUUCCUUUUUGCUGUCUGUUAUGGUUCAUUACCAUGUCCCUUGCUGGAUACUCCUCCCAUAUAUUUCCAAAUGCUG